rnacentral:rRNA from 1 species
UCAAUAAGCGGAGGAAAAGAAACCAACAGGGAUUGCCUCAGUAACGGCGAGUGAAGCGGCAAAAGCUCAGAUUUGAAAUCUGGCGUCUUCGGCGUCCGAGUUGUAAUCUGUAGAGGAUGCCUUUGGGUGGCCACCGGUCUAAGUCCCCUGGAACGGGGUGUCACAGAGGGUGAGAAUCCCGUAUGUGACCGGGAAGGCGCCCUAUACAUGGCUCCUUCGACGAGUCGAGUUGUUUGGGAAUGCAGCUCUAAAUGGGAGGUAAAUUCCUUCUAAAGCUAAAUACCGGCCAGAGACCGAUAGCGCACAAGUAGAGUGAUCGAAAGAUGAAAAGCACUUUGGAAAGAGAGUUAAAAAGCACGUGAAAUUGUUGAAAGGGAAGCGCUUGCAACCAGACUUGUUGGCGGUGUUCCGCCGGUCUUCUGACCGGUCUACUCACCGUCUGCAGGCCAGCAUCAUCUGGGGCCGCUGGAUAAAAGCGGAGGGAAUGUGGCUCCUCCGGGAGUGUUAUAGCCCUCUGUGUAAUACAGCGAGUCCCGGGUGAGGUCCGCGCUUCGGCUAGGAUGCUGGCGUAAUGGUCGUAAGCGGCCCGUCUUGAAACACGGACCAAGGAGUCUAACAUCUAUGCGAGUGUUCGGGUGUCAAACCCCUACGCGUAAUGAAAGUGAACGGAGGUGGGAACCUUUUAGGUGCACCAUCGACCGAUCCUGAUGUCUUCGGAUGGAUUUGAGUAAGAGCAUAGCUGUUGGGACCCGAAAGAUGGUGAACUAUGCCUGGAUAGGGUGAAGCCAGAGGAAACUCUGGUGGAGGCUCGCAGCGGUUCUGACGUGCAAAUCGAUCGUCAAAUUUGGGUAUAGGGGCGAAAGACUAAUCGAACCAUCUAG